rnacentral:lncRNA from 1 species
UUAAAUUUCAAAUGUUUGUUUUUUCUUAUUUCAAUGGAGAUUGAUUCAGUUUUAGGGAUGGAGUUUGUUUGAGUGUUAUCUUUGUUGGUCCGGUGGUGACUGUUGGAGGUUGAAGUUCAUUGUUCUGAUCUUAAAUUCAUUGUUCUCAUUUCGUGUUGGUUCAAGCUUCAGCUGUUUCGAAUUUGGGGUUGUAACAGUUGCUCGAUUUCUGUCUCGUGUAUUACUAAAUUUUUUAUUAAUCGAAAGUUUGAAAUUCAGUUUCCAUAGUUGUUGAAAUUCUAUUAAUUAAAAAGUAAUUUCAAUCCUUAAACUUCAUUUUGCUGCUAGGUUCUGUUGACUUGAGUCCAUUUUGGGUCUCACUUGUGAGACCUAUUCAGAACUGGGUGUUGAGGUUUUGAGGUCGUCAAGUAAGCUCUGUUGGUGUAGCCUGGUUCAGUUAUGGUUGCUCCAGCGAAUUAAAGCCUUGGAGAUACAGCGUCUAACAUAGUUCUAGAUGUCCGUUCGUUUCAUCAAUGCAAUGUUAUAGUGACGAGGUGAAUCCAAUUUGUUCGAUACGGCAUAAUGAAAUCUGUCAUUACCACACAACUUCUUUAAUCAGCAAUUUGAGGGUGUGUUUUCAAUUCUUAAUGUUAAUACUCACUAUGUAUUCUUUCUGUUAAUGAAAGAGCUGUAGUAAGUUCUGUAUACGUAGUUUUAUGACCUCAUAUCAUGUCAUGGCUUUUGAAUUAUUUUGUUUGACUUAAUU